ACAGGAUCUCGGACCACAAACCAAGGAGUCUCGUGGCCUUGGAUUCCCAGACCCUAGGAUGGUAUCCCUCUGACAGCUGGAACCAGGCAAGGGGGAACACACCUCAGCCUCAGAGCAGCCUCUGGACACUCUCCAGGUAACAUGAAAAUAACUUGUGCAAACACAGCCCCCAUGCCAGAAAGUCCAGUGCCCUAGGAAGGGCUAUCCUGAAUUCUGACCCUGAUGUUUGCCAAAGGAGAAUGCAGCAAGACAGUGUCAGGUUUGGCCAAAUGUGACCCUGCUCAGAGCUAUACCACUUGAAUACUGGCACAAAAGAAAGGACCAAGGUAAAGCAAAUUUAUUUGGGAGGAACAAUUCCCUUCAAAAGUAGAUCCCUAUCUUUAGGAGACAAAAGGCAACACUGUGAUGAACCCACACCCCCUAGUUUGGGGGGCCACAGGCCCAACCCCAUUCUGCUGUGGGCUCUAGCCUCAGUAGCCAGAUCCAGGUAAACCUCAGUUUCAAGAAUAAAGGUGAGCCACAGACAUGCAGCACCACCAGAGACAACAACACCCCGUGGCAAGAAGACCAUGUUCUGGACUGUCUCC
rnacentral:lncRNA from 1 species